GUGGUGUGAGUGCCAAUGAGACAACCCUCCAUCCAAAUAACAAUUUCAAAAAAGUAAACCAUUAUAUGUCAAUGUACGGCCUUCAACACGGAGCCUUGGCUCACACCGAACAACAAGCUAUAAAGGGCCCCAAAAUUACCUGUGUAAAACCAUUCAAACGGGAAAACCAACGGUCUUGUCUAUAUAAAAAAACGAGAAACACGUAUAAAUUACAUAAACAAACGAC
rnacentral:lncRNA from 1 species